AUACGGAGGGGACUAGCGUUGUUCGGAAUUACUGGGCGUAAAGCGUACGUAGGCGGAUCAGAAAGUAUGGGGUGAAAUCCCAGGGCUCAACCCUGGAACUGCCUCAUAAACUCCUGGUCUUGAGUUCGAGAGAGGUGAGUGGAAUUCCGAGUGUAGAGGUGAAAUUCGUAGAUAUUCGGAGGAACACCAGUGGCGAAGGCGGCUCACUGGCUCGAUACUGACGCUGAGGUGCGAAAGCGUGGGGAGCAAACAGGAUUAGAAACCCUUGUAGUCC
rnacentral:rRNA from 1 species